rnacentral:lncRNA from 1 species
CCACAUUUGUUUAUUUUUGCCAAUAAAUCAUUAGGAGAAAAAGAAAGUAAGAGAAAUAAUAGAGAGUACACGGGUGAAAGAGGAUUAAGGAAGAGAAGAAGGAUCAAACUUUGAUCAUCAUCUAGCAAGCCUUAAUCAAGUUCAAGAAAGAGCAUCAAUAGGUAAGCCUGAAACUUAAAACUAUUUAUUCGUCUCUUUUUAUUUUCAAGCUCUUGUUAGCUUUGAUUGGUGGUUGUUGUGGCUAUGGUGGAUCAUGAAGGGAUCUAGGAGGUAUAAGUUGAUUUAAAUAUUUAAACUACCGAUAAAUAACAUGAAAAGAGGAACAAAAAUGGAAAAAAUGAACCUAUACAAAAGGAUGAACUAUGCACAGUUAAUAGAGGACUGUUAGUGGGCUAUUUUGGGGCCAUUUAACUAUGAUUUCCCAACUUUAAAAAUUAAGUUCUAGGAGGUUAUGUUAUGUUCUUAUGAGUUACGAACAUAACCCAAUUGGAAUAAAGACAAAAGCUUUUGUAACGAAGUCAUGGCGGAUUUUUUUGUAAAACUAGUCGAAAAAUUGAAAAACAAUUUGCGUGCUGACUUUUGUGUCAAUUUUCUGUGUUGUUUAAAUCUUUGGAAAAAAUUUCUUUUCUAGGGAUUGUGUAGUACAUAGAACAAGGAAUCAGUAGGCUUAAGAACGACCUCAUUCUGAUUUCGAAGGAGGGAGUUAUUCCCUUUAGAAAAAGGCAUAUCGAAUCUACCAAAACAAAAAACUAAGCGUCGAAAGUUUUUGGGACCAUUUUUUUGGCCUUCUAUUGGGUCUGAAAUAAUUUUUUACCAGGAGGGAUUUGUAGAGGAUGUUACAAGGAAAAAAUAUGACGCAAGAAUGGCCUUAUUCUGACUUAAAACGAACAAGUUAUAAGAUUCGAAAGGAGAGGGGUUAGGGUUGUCAAAGCAGUGGGCUGUUAGGCACGCGUAGGCACUGUUCGGGGUACACGAGCGCGCGGUGCUGGCGAGUAGCAGAUGUGGGGAGCUGGGGCCUCAUGGUGUGGGGCGUCGGGGCCAUGACUACUGGGCAGUCAAACGGGGGUUGGGCACGAGCGUGUCACCAGAUUGUUUUCGAACGUGGUGCGACGACGUGUAACGCCGAGCGACGUGGUACACAUCGAGGCAUGUUGGGUGACGUUGAACGGCGUUGUGCAUGUCGGGAAUUAUCGUUAAUUAAAUUGUUCUAAAAUGUUCCAACUUAUAAAGAUUAGUAUUAUAAAAUGAAUAAUAAUAAAAAUAGAUCACUAUUGUGACGCACCCAAAACAGGUAUACAUCACCCAUCUUGGGUCGCCAAAUACAUGGUACAGAAUUCAAAUUCAACUUAAUUAUACAAUUGUCGUGUAAAGUACGACAAAACAUAUAUUGUGAGUUUUAAUACAAAUAUUGUCUUCUAGACAAUAUUCAAACUCAAAUUCAAUAUUAUUACAAUUAUUAACACACUAUUUCAUAGAAUAGUGAGGACUACUAAUGUACCAUCUCAGACCAUCACUCCGUUCCCCGACUAGUCCCAGCUAUGUUCUCAUUUCCUGAAGAGAACAAUGAAAGCAAAUGGUGAGUUCAACUAGCCCAGUAAGAAAUAUUAUUACUAAGAUAAUGCAGAAUAAUUUAUCGUUAGUCUUCAACAGUGUUAAACUGAUAAAAUACAAUAGACAUCAAGUUUAACUGCAGCGGAAUAAGCAAACCAUUAGAAGAGUCAAGUAGAGCAUGAUAUCUACUAUCUUCUAUGAUUUAAAAAGUUUAUCAUCAAUUUUAUCGCUGAGACUCAGCUUAAUAAAUAAUCCACAUCAUCGAAUCAUCCCUGCACUACGGCUAAGGAUAUUCAUUAGUAUCACGACCACGAAUUAUCCAUGCACUACGGGCCAAGGAUUCAUCAAUGGUCAUGAUCAUGCCAACAACUGUCCAUCAAUGCACUACGGGCCAAUGAGGACUUUUACCACAUCAGUUGUAACAUUACGGUCAUGAUUAUACUGAAUAAUCCCUGGUCAUAAUCAUGCCAAGUCCAUCUAUGCACUACGGGCCACAGAUGAAUUUCAACAUAAUAUAAGCAUGAGGAUGAUGACAAUGAUAUAUGAAUUCAAUUAAAUAAAAGCAAAGGAUAAAUAUUAAAGAUUUUAACAAUAUAAUUUAUUCAGAAUUCAAUAAUGUCCAAAUUGUCAAUAUAAUACUGCUUUGUGAAGUAAAAUUCAAGAAUAAUAUUGUAUCAAAAAUGAUUUGGAUAGAAAAGAAAUCAAUUUUUAUCAUGAAUAGUGCCCCGGGUGAAUAGUACCCCAUGAAUAGUACUUCGGGAAUAAAAACCCCGUGAAUAGUACUCCACAUUGAAAAAAGUUAAAAUUUAUGAAUGCUCAGAAUAAUAUUUUCAUGAAAAGAUACUGGAUGAAGCGCAAAUAUCAAUGAUAUUCUAUUAAUUUCAUGGAGUAUAGAAGCCAAAACUUUAACAAAAUGAGUGUAGAAUUCAAAAUCUGAAACGAAAUAAUAUUACUUACAUACUACAGAGUAUGGAAGAAAAUAUUAUUUCAUACGAAUACUGAACAAAAAUAAUAUCCCUUACCUUAAAAAGAAGAGUAUUCCGACUGGUAGGGCGGGGAUAUAUCCUUGAAGAAAACUUAUACUAUUUUCUACGCUCAAAGCUUCCUUAAACUCUAAAGAAAUACGCUCAAUAUUAUAGAAGAAAAAUUCUCUUAUUCUGAUGUGAUUUUCAAUUCUAACUAAGCAUCCUAUUUAUAGGAAAAUGAAAAUGAUACUAUUUGGACGCAUAGUAAAGGAAAAGUCACGGGUGACGUUCGGCCGAAUUUUUUGAAAAAUUUUGAUUUUACUAUGUUGUACUAUGCAAUAAAAUAUUCUAAUAAAACUAAAACUUUUAAAUAAAAUAUAAUAUUUAUAUAUAUAUAUAUAUAUUAUAUACAUAUAACAUGCCUCACGGGAUACAUCCCGUGAUUCCACCCUGAUAACCCCCUCGUAACUCCUUUAUCUCCACUAAUCAUAUUUUAAAUAUAUAUAUAUAUAAUACAUAUAUAUAAUACACAAAACUGAGAUAACUUCUUCUGACUAUUUUGAAAAAUGGGUAAGUGGGGGGUUAAAUAAUAUGCCAAACUUACAACAAAACUUCAUAAAAAUCCCCUCAAUAUUUUUAACAACAUUUAUUCAUCGUUAUUAUAACUCGCAAUAUUAACAACCAGAUCGUUCCCGGGAAAGAGGGGGCUUUCCGAUAAAGAUUUUUUCCUAUUGGCGCACAAUUAGGUGACUAAACCCCUUUACUCAACAAAACUUUCUAGACAUUGUUAAUUAUGCAGAUUAUAAUAUGAAUAACUUGUCAUCUCAAUUAUUUCUUUAAUAAUAUAAAAUAUUGUGGCAAUAAUUGAAUCAAAUAACGUGAGAUACUAUGUAGUAAUUACUGUAGCAAUAAUUGAAUAAAACUGAGUGACUUCUCACGUAAGCAUCAAUACUCAAUACCGUGUGCUACUAUGCAACCACGCGUAUUACUGUACUUUUAUCACUGGGUAUUUCAAUAGUUUAACGGUAAAACUUUCACCGUUAUUUUUAUAAAAAGAUAUUUCUGUCGUUUUCUAACUUUGACAAUACUUCCAUUGUGGGGUCCACCAAUGAUUGUGCUGUCGUACGAAUAUUCCCUGUUAAAACGAAUAUUCCCCGACCAAUCGAAUAUCUUAUAACCACUUUCUUACUUUACAAAAUUUGUAAAUAUUACCCACAACUAUAACAUUAUAUCAAAUUCACUCCAUAAUAUUCAAAAAUGAUAUUUAUAGAAAAUUUAUCUUUAUUCAUAAAAGUUGGGGUCUUACAACCUCCUCUUCUUAUGAAAUUUCGCCCUCGAAAUUAGAGUACAUUCCUGGUAUGUCGAAGAGGUGAGGAUACAUUGAUUUCAUUUCAGAUUCUAACUCCCAGGUCAUUUCCUCAACAUCGUGGUUUCUCCACAAAACUUUGACUUGAGGUAUAACCUUGGAGCGUAGAAUAUGUUCCUUCUUAUCCUAGAUUUUAAUAGGAACCUCUUCAUACGUUAAAUCUUCCGCUAUUUCGUCCGGUUCUAACUCAAUAAUGUGGUUAGGGUCUUCCAUAUAUUUACGUAACAUAGAUAUGUGAAAAAUAUUAUGAACACAAGACGUACUUGGCGGUAAAGCGAGUCUAUAGGCCACAGUUCCUACUCUAUUAAGGAUUUCAAAUGGGCCAAUGAAUCGAGGAUUGAGCUUUUCUCUCUUUUCAAAUCUCGUAACUCCCUUCCGUAACAACACAUAUUCUCCAACAUUGAAUUCCACGUCCUUCCGAUGAAGAUCAGCAUAACUCUUUUGACGAUCUUGUGAGGUUUUUAUACGUUGCCGGAUCAUUUGAAUCUUUUUUGUAGUCAUGCGUACCAAUUCUGGUCCCAACAACGUUGUUUCACCCACCUCAUCCCAGCAUACUGGAGAACGACACUUUCUUCCAUACAACGCCUCAAAUGGAGCCAUGUCGAUACUUGCUUGAUAACUGUUGUUGUAGGAAAAUUCCACCAAUGGUAAGAACUUGUCCCAACUUCCUUUGAAGUCAAGGACACAGAGUCUUAAUAGAUCCUCAAGAGUUUUAAUAGUCCUCUCUGAAUGUCCAUCCAUUUGAGGAUGAUACGCCAAACUAAAUCGUAAAUUAGUGCCCAUAGCUUUUUGCAAACUAACCCAAAAUCGUGAAGUGAAUCUUUGGGUCUCGAUCAGAAACUAUGGAUAUUGGAAUACCAUGCAGUCUUACAAUCUCAUUUAUGUAUAUAAGAGCAAGACAUUCAAGUGUAUAAGUUUCUCGUAUAGGUAAGAAAUGAGCCGACUUGGUCAAUCUAUCAACAAUGACCCAAAUUGCAUUUAUGCCUCGAGAAACCUUAGGAAGACCAGUAAUGAAAUCCAUGGUAAUGUGCUCCCACUUCCAUUAUGAAAUUUCAAGUGGUUGCAAUGGACCUUUUUGCACUUGAUGCUCCUCCUUGACUCAUUGACAAGUUAAACACCUUGAGAUAAACUUCGUUAUCUCUCUCUUCAUUUUGCUCCACCAAAAUGUAUGUCAAAGAUCAUGAUACAUUUUGGUAUUCCCAGGAUGGAUUGCAAACGGUGUGUUGUGCGCCUCUAUCAUGAUUUUAUACUUUAAAUUAGGGUCGUUAGGAACACAAAGUCUAGAUUUGACUCGUAGUAUUCCUUCUUCAUCGAUUCUUACUUCCGGGAUAACACCUUCUUGUACUUUCUUCCUUAUACGCAUCAGCUCUAGGUCUUUAACUUGAGCAGUUUUCACUUUAUCGAUUAAAGUCGGUUCUACUCUUAUGUUUGCCAUCAUUACGUGGGUCCCUGGAGUCUUUAACUCUGUCUCCAUCCUUUCCAAGUCAUACAAAAUGGGCCUUUGCGUUGACAAUAACGCACUCGUACCUGCAUAUGAUCUUCUACUCAAUGCGUCAGCUACCACGUUCACUUUUCUAGGGUGGUAUUGAAUGGUAUGAUCAUAAUCUUUCAAUAGUUCAAGCCAACGCCGUUGCCGCGUGUUGAGUUCCUUUUGGGUGAAGAAAUAUUUGAGGCUUUUAUGAUCCGUAUAAAUCUCCAUUUUCUCCACAUACAGGUAAUGCCUCCAAAUUUUAAGUGCGAAGACAACAGCUGCCAACUCUAGAUCAUGAGUAGGAUAAUUCCUCUCAUAUUCUUUGAGUUGUUGAGAGGCAUAGGUUAUGACUUUCCCAUGUUGCAUGAGAACACAUCCUAACCCUUUGCCCGAAGCAUCACUAUAGAUGACAAAUCCCUCCGAGCCAGAUGGUAUUGUUAGAACAGGUGUUGAAAUGAGUCUUCUCUUGAGUUCUUGAAAACUCUUCUCACAUUCCUCGCUCUAACUGAAUUUUGUAUCUUUCCGAGUCAGCUGAGUUAAUGGAAUAGCGAUUCGAGAAAACCCUUCUACGAAUCUCCGAUAAUAACUAGCUAAGCCGAGAAAGCUACGUACUUCGGUUACUGAUUUAGGUUGAUCCCAGCUUUGUAUUGCUACAAUUUUCACUAUGUCAACAGAUAUUCCGUGACUUGAUAUCACGUGCCCAAGGAAUGCUACUUUCUCAAGCCAGAACUCGCAUUUCUUUAACUUGGCAUAAAGCUUGUUUUCACGAAGCUUUUGAAGUAUCAGCCUCAAGUGUUUCUCAUGAUCUUCAAGGCUUUUGGAAUAUAUGAGAAUGUCAUCAAUAAGACAACCACAAAAUGAUCCAAAUAUUCCUUGAAUACUCGGUUCAUCAUGUCCAUGAAGGCAGCAGGAGCAUUAGUCAAUCCAAAAGACAUAACUAGGAAUUCAUAAUGCCCGUACCGAGUUCUAAAAGCAGUCUUUGGAAUGUCAUCAGUUUUAAUCUUUAACUGAUGAUAUCCGGAACGAAGAUUGAUCUAUGAAAAGAAUUUGGCGCCUUGCAACUGGUCAAACAGGUCAUCAAUAUGAGGUAACGGGUACCUAUUUUUGACAGUGACAUGGUUUAACUCCUGAUAAUCAAUACAAAGUCGCAUACUCCCAUCUUUCUUUCUCACGAAUAGAACAGGAGCACCCCAAGGAGACGUACUAGGAUGAAUGAAAUCGAUGCAUAACAAUUCCUGCAGUUGGGUUUUUAACUUCUGAAGUUCAACAAGAGCCAUUCGAUAUGGGGCUUUGGAAAUGGGUUUUGUACCAGGUUCAAGGUCGAUACAAAAUUUAAUUUCACGCUCUGGGGGUAGGCCAGGAAGUUCUUCAGGGAUACGUCAGGAAAUUUAUUAACAAUAGAAAUAUCAUUCAAAUCUGACGUAUUUUUAUUUAAAUAUGUGACAUGGGCUAAGAAAGCUUGACAUCCGUUUUUCAAUAAACGAAUAGCUUUAUGGCUUGAUAUGACAGUGAUUGAUUUUAGUGGUUUGGUGGCUUGAAUUCGUAUAAUAGGUUGGUUAGGAAUAUGAAAACUAACAACCUUACAAAAAUAAUCAAUUUUUGCAUGAUGAGUAGUUAACCAAUCAAUCCCUAAAAUCACGUCAAACGCAAGUGUUUUUAAGGAAAUAAGAUCGACAGGUAAUGUGAGGGUACCGAUUUGAACCAAACAAGAUUUAUAAACAGUGGAUGAAAUUAAGGUUUCUCCCAACUGAGUUUUAACAGAUAAGUCAAAAUCUAAUUUCUCCGGAGUCAAAUUUAAACGAUGAGCACAAGUAGGAUAAAUAAAAGAAUGGGUAGAACUGGUAUCAAAUAAGGUAUAUACUUCGCUAGAGUUUAUGAUAAGCUUACCCGUGAUGACCUCGUUCGGGUUCCUUGCUUUCUGGGAGGUCACAACAAACGUUCUCCCUUGAACUACUGGUUUUGACUUGUCUGGGAUGGUAUUUGGUGUCACCAUCCCAACUGGACUUGGCUUCCCUGCAUGAUAAAAUCUAACUAGGUGGCCUUCUCUUCCACAAUUGUAACACAUUUUGGACUGCUGUGCACAGUUUGGACUGAUGUGUCUCUCCCCUCCACAUUUGAAGCAUAUGAUAGGUGGUCAUUCUCCUUCCUUAACAACAGAUGUUGGUGCUGACAUCUUUCCAUCAUUGUUGAAUCUCCUUUUCUUGAAAUGUCCACUUUUAUUAUCUUGGCCAUGAUUACCACCGAAGUGGUUACCAUUUUUGGCAUGUUGAUUCCCUCCACGUUUGUUGUCACCGCUUCGAUGACUGCUACCACUGGUAUUAUCGUUUUGCCGACUGCUCUCUUUUGGUUGAGUUGACUCAUUAUCGCGCUCUAACAACUGAGCCCUAUUUACAACAUCUAAAUACAGGGAAAAUUUGUGAGAAAUUAGGUAUUGACGUAUCUUGGAUUUCAAACCUCUUCGAAACAUCCGAGUCAUUCUCUCCUCAUUAUCAACUAAGUGGGACGCAAACCGAGACAACUCGACAAACUUAGCUUCGUACUGCGACACGGUCAUAUUGUUUUGCUCCAACUUGAUGAACUCUACCUUCUUCAUGUGAUGAAUACUUUCGGGAAAGUACUUGUCGUUGAAUAGUUCUUGGAACUUCUCCCAAGACAUCUUCAGUGUGGCAGGCUGAGUAUGCUUUAUAUAUUCCCACUAAUAAUCUACCUCUCCUCGCAACAUGAAAGUGGCAAAGGAAACCUUUUUCUCCUCGGAGCAUCCCAAGACAUCAAAUAUCUUGGUGAUCUGCUUUAUCCACGUCUCCGCCUUAAGUGGUUUUGGCUCUCCCAAAAACUCUGGUGGUCCCAGCUCCUUGAACUGCUUAGCGGUGACCGUGCGAGAGUUGCCAAUGUUUCCACCUGCAUUUUGAAUAGGAGUCUCUCUUGUCUGAUGUUGCACGAAUUGCAGAAAGCUCCUAAACAUUCUGCCGUUCAUUAUUUGGUCGGUGUUGUUGUUUGCAUGAGGAUUGUUGCCUUCCUGAUGCAUAUUUUCCUUGUUAUUGAUCAUUGGUGAUUCAACAGUCUCAUGUACUCCAUUGAUAUUCUCAACAUUCUUGGAUGUCAUUUUCAAAUACUGCCACAAAACAAGGGUUAAUUGACAUGCAACAUAUUAUCCCUAUAUUCUGACCUACCGAUUAAAUAACAAAUAAACUUAGGUAGGUCAUACUAGCGAAGGAAUUACCCGUCUCUCCCCUCCUAAUUCUAGUCUCACAUCUCAGCCAGGGAUCAUAUCCCUAAGCUUUGAUACCAAUUGUGACGCCCCCAAAAUAGGUAUACAUCACCCAUCUUAGGUCGCCAAAUACAUGGUACAAAAUUCAAAUUCAACUUAAUUAAACAAUUAUCGUGUAAAGUACGACAACAUAAGCUGUGAGUUUUAAUACAAAUAUUGUCUUCUAGACAAUAUCAAAACUCAAAUUCAAUAUUAUUACAAUUAUUAACACACUAUUUCACAAAAUAGUGAGGACUACUAAUGCACCAUCUCGGACCAUCACUCCAUUCCCCGACUAGUCCCAGCUAUGUUCUCAUUUCCUGAAGAGAAUAAUGAAAGUAAAGGGUGAGCUCAACUAGCCUAGUAAGAAAUAUUAUGACUAAGAUAAUGCAGAAUAAUUUAUCGUUAGUCUUCAACAGUGUUAAACUAAUAAAAUACAAUAGACAUCAAGUUUAACUGCAACGGAACAAGCAAUCCAUUAGAAGAGUCAAGUAGAGCAUGCUAUCUACUAUCUUCUAUGAUUUAAAAAGUUUGUCAUCAAUUUUAUCGCUGAGACUCAGCUUAGUAAAUAAUCCACAUCAUCGAAUCAUCCCUACACUACGGCCAAGGAUAUUCAUUAGUAUCACGACCACGAAUUAUCCAUGCACUACGGGCCAAGGAUAUUCAUGUUUUCAUCAAUGGUCAUGAUCAUGCCAACUGUCCAUCAAUGCACUACGGGCCAAUGAGGACUUUUACCACAUCAUUUGUAACAUUACGGUCAUGAUUAUAUCGAAUAAUCCCUGGUUAUAAUCAUAUCAAGUCCAUCUAUACACUACGAGCCACAGAUGACUUUCAUCAUAAUAUAAGCAUGAUGAUAAUGAUAAUGAUAUAGGAAUUCAAUUAAAUAAAAGCAAAGGAUAAAUAUUAAAGAUUUUAACAAUAUAAUUUAUCCAGAAUUCAAUAAUGUCCAAAUUAUCAACAUGAUACUACUUUGUGGAGUAAAAUUCAAGAAUAAUAUUUGUAUCAAAAAUGAUUUGGACAGAAAAGAAAUUAAUUUUUAUCAUGAAUAGUGCCUCGGAUGAAUAGUACCCGAGUGGAUAGUAUCCAGUGAAUAGUACUUCGAAAAUAGUAACCCAGUGAAUAGUACUCCGACAUGAAAAAGUUAAAACUUAUCAAGAAUGCUCAGAAUAAUAUUUCCAUGAAAAGAUACUGGAUGAAGCGCAAAUAUCAAGGAUAUUCUACUAAUUUCAUGGAGUAUAGAAGCCAAAACUUUAACAAAAUGAGUGUAGAAUUCAAAAUCUGAAACAAAAUAAUAUUACUUACAUACUAUAGAGUAUGAAAGAAAACAUUAUUUCAUACGAAUACUGAACAAAAAUAAUAUCCCUUACCUUAAAAAGAAGAGUAUUCUGACUAGUAGGGAGGGGAUAUCCUUGAAGAAAACUUAUACUAUUUUCUAUGCUCAAAGCUUCCUUAAACUCUAAAGAAAUACGAUCAAUAUUAUAGAAGAAGAAUUCUCUGAUUCUGGUGUGAUUUUCAAUUCUAACUAAGCAUCCUAUUUAUAGGAGAAUGAAAAGGAUACUAUUUGGAUGCAUAGUAAAGGAAAAGUCACGGGUGACGUUCGGCCGAAUUUUUUGAAAAAUUUUGAUUUUACUAUGUUGUACUAUGCAAUAAAAUAUUCUAAUAAAAUGAAAACCUUUAAAUAUAAUAUAACAUAUAUAUAUAUAUAUAACACAAAACUGAGAUAACUUCUCCCGACUAUUUUGAAAAAUGGGUAAGUGGGGGUUCAAAUAAUACGCCAAACUUACAACAAAACUUCAUAAAAAUCCCCUCAUUAACAACAUUUAUUCAUCGUUAUUAUAACUCGCAAUAUUAACAACCAGAUCGUUCCCAGGAAAGAGGGGGCUUUCCGAUAAGGAUUUCUCCCUAUUGACGAGCAAUUAGGGGUGACCAAACCCCUUUCCUCGACAAAAAUUUCUAGACAUUGUUAAUUAUGCAGAUAACAAUAUGAAUAACUUGUCAUCUCAAUUAUUGAUUUAAUAAUAUAAAAUAUUAUGACAAUAAUUGAAUCAAAUAAUGUGAGAUACUAUGCAGCAAUUACUGUAGCAAUAAUUGAAUAAAACUGAGUGACUUCUCACGUAAGCAUCAAUAAUCAAUACCGUGUGCUAUUAUGCAACCACGCGUAUUACUGUACUUUUAUCACCGGGUAUUUCAACAGUUUAACGGUAAAAAUUCCGCCGUUAUUUUUAUAAAAAGAUAUUUCUAUCAUUUUCUAACUCCGACAAUACUUCUGUUGUGGGGUCCACCAAUAAUUAUGUCGUCGUACAAAUAUUCCCUGUUAAAACGAAUAUUUUCCGACCAAUCGAAUAUUUUAUAACCACUUGCUUACUUUACAUAAUUUGUAAAUAUUACCCACAACUAUAACAUUAUAUCAAAUUCACUCCUUAAUAUUCAAAAAUGAUAUUUAUAAAAAAUUCAUAUUUAUUCAUAAAAGUUGGGGUCUUACAACCAUAGGAGGUCGUUAUGAUGGUUAUGGUGUUCCUGAACGCCGCGACGCCAAGUGUCAUUUUUGAAAGGUUAUCGCGCUACUUUAUUUAUAAAAUGAAAACAACAUAAAAUGAGUAAUAAUGUAACGUAAACCAAUAUAAGAAUUCGUUAUGUGGCUAAUUGGUAUAUUAUCUGUGUUGGUCAAUUGAAGGAAUAUUUAGUGUAUAAAUUAAAGAAUGCUUCAGGUAAAUUUCCGAACUCCUAUUCAAUUUAUAUAUGUGUUGAAUGCAUGUUCUAAUUUAUGCAAUGCUUUAAUAUUGUGUGAAUUCAAGUUUUCUGACUUUCACAAAUUUAUAUAUUAUGCUAGUAUUCUAUGACCUUAUAGAAAUUAAUUUAUUAGUAUGUGCAAGACAUGAGUUAAAACUGUGAAAUCUUAUUUGUUAUAUACAAGAUUCAUUGUAUGAUGUGAUAUAAGCUAUAAAAAAGAGUUACUAUCAUUUGAUUUGGCUUAACUUGAUUUAUUGAACUAUUCCAGUUGGAUUAUUUAUUGGUGAAAUAUGAAUUGUAAUAAUUCUUUGAAUUGUGAUAAGUUAAUAGUGUCAAAUCAAAUAAUUUGGGCAAGUAUUCAUAUGUAUUGAACCAAGUGUAAUAAUGUGUUAUGUGAGUAAAUGUUGUGUCAUAGUAAUGAAGUAGACACAGUAGAUGUCAAAUCUAACAAAUAACAGAGAAGAAAGGUUAAUGUCUUGAGGAUUGUUCAAUAUGUCGUUUCAAAAACGUUAUAUGAAAGGAAAUUGUUGUUCCUCAUUUUUCGAAACUGCUUCACAACUAUUGUUCAAUUGUUGAAGUUUUCAAAGAAUAUAGUGAUAUUCAUUAUGUUAUUGAUUGUUUAUUUAACGGUUAUACUUGCUGAGCAAUUAAAUGAUCACCCUUGCUUAAAAUAAAAUAUUUUCAGCAAAGCUAGAACGAAUAGAGGAAUCUGGUGAAUAUUAGUGAAAGGAUCAAGUAUUGAUUAGAAGAAUUGCAUGUUAAAUUAUAUGUAUUUGUUGUGACGGAGAAAAGUCACAAAUGUAUUAUUGUAAUAGAUAAAUGAUAUAAUAUUCAUUAGUAUUAUGAUUUGAAAAUGUAAAAGUCGUAGAGCAUGGAUUAGAAAUGAUAUAUUGUAAUAAUAUUUAAAUUAUAUUUAUGUCUUAAUAUUAUAUGGG